rnacentral:rRNA from 1 species
GCCUGCCCGGUGCCGGAAGGUUAAAAGGAGGGGUGAGAGCUCCGAAUUGAAGCCCCGGUAAACGGCGGCCGUAACAAUAACGGUCCUAAGGUAGCGAAAUUCCUUGUCGGGUAAGUUCCGACCUGCACGAAUGGCGUAACGACUUCCCCACUGUCUCCAACGCAGACUCAGCGAAAUUGAACUCUCCGUGAAGAUGCGGAGUACCCGCGGUUAGACGGAAAGACCCCGUGCACCUUUACUACAGCUUCGCAGUGG